CGGGAAUAUAAAUUAUAGAUGUACGAGUAGAGGCCGUAGACGCAUGGUUGACGAGGUUUGGAAGUUUUGGUUUCGCCGUGAGUCGUGCACAGACAGCAAAAUGUUGCUUAUCAUCAUGGCAGUAAGUUUCUGGGGAUCGGCCUGCUGACAAAGGACCACCUUGUUUACGAGUUGGCAAUAAGGCGUCAAUCGAUUGAGGGUAGUGUCCCGGAACUGGAAGCCCAUUUGCGCGCUGCCGUUCUUCAGCCGGUUGACUUCACGUCGGCGGUGGUGGGUGAGCCAGGAGCGGCAACCGAAUUUUUGUUUGAGGCUAUUAAUGGCCUCGAUGACACUAUUUCUUCUGAAAGGAACCCAACAGUCAGCUGCAUAAGAAAUUGGUUGCGACGUCUUGCUGAUUGUUGCUGAGAGAACGAG